AUUGAACGCUGGCGGCAUGCUUUACACAUGCAAGUCGAGCGGCAGCGCGGGGGGCAACCCUGGCGGCGAGCGGCGAACGGGUGAGUAAUGCAUCGGAACGUACCCUGGAGUGGGGGAUAACGCCGCGAAAGCGGCGCUAAUACCGCAUAUGCUCUGAGGAGGAAAGUGGGGGGACCGCAAGGCCUCACGCUCUGGGAGCGGCCGAUGUCCGAUUAGCUAGUUGGUGGGGUAAAGGCUUACCAAGGCGACGAUCGGUAGCUGGUCUGAGAGGAUGAUCAGCCACACUGGGACUGAGACACGGCCCAGACUCCUACGGGAGGCAGCAGUGGGGGAAUUUUGGACAAUGGGCGGAAGCCUGAUCCAGCCAUGCCGCGUGAGUGAAGAAGGCCU
rnacentral:rRNA from 1 species